CGCGGGAUGGAGCAGUUGGUAGCUCGUCGGGCUCAUAACCCGAAGGUCAUAGGUUCGAGUCCUAUUCCCGCUAUUUUUUUUGAUAACUUCAUAAAAUUC
rnacentral:tRNA from 1 species